rnacentral:piRNA from 1 species
UCAAAUGGAAACUUUCUGACUGCCAAAAAU